GAGUUUGAUUUGGCCAGGAUGAACGCUGGCGGCGUGCCUAAUACAUGCAAGUCGAGCGAACGGACGAGAAGCUUGCUUCUCUGAUGUUAGCGGCGGACGGGUGAGUAACACGUGGGUAACCUACCUAUAAGACUGGGGAUAACUCCGGGAAACCGGGGCUAAUACCGGAUAACACAUGAAACCGCAUGGUUUCAUGAUGAAAGACGGUCUUGCUGUCACUUAUAGAUGGAUCCGCGCUGCAUUAGCUAGUUGGUAAGGUAACGGCUUACCAAGGCAACGAUGCAUAGCCGACCUGAGAGGGUGAUCGGCCACACUGGAACUGAGACACGGUCCAGACUCCUACGGGAGGCAGCAGUAGGGAAUCUUCCGCAAUGGGCGAAAGCCUGACGGAGCAACGCGCGUGAGUGAUGAAGGUCUUCGGAUCGUAAAAACUCUGUUAUUAGGGAAGAACAUAUGUGUAAGUAACUGUGCACAUCUUGACGGUACCUAAUCAGAAAGCCACGGCUAACUACGUG
rnacentral:rRNA from 1 species